rnacentral:other from 3 species
UGCACCCUGCGGUGUUCGUCAGGCUCAUAAUUCUUUGAACCAAUAAGCUUUGCUUAGGUCGCGCCCCUUUUAAUCGCUGUUGUGCGCAUCCCUUGCGGAUGUACCUGAUGCGACGGGAACCGGCCCUCUUGAACCCAGGUUCAAGAUAUUGAGUCAACGGCACAGGCGGGGGGCUU